rnacentral:tRNA from 1 species
CGUGGGGGUUCAAGUCCCUCCACCCGCACUUUAAUGCGGAAGUAGUUCAGUGGUAGAACACCACCUUGCCAAGGU